GACGAACGCUGGCGGCGUGCUUAACACAUGCAAGUCGAACGGAAAGGCCCUGCUUUUGUGGGGUGCUCGAGUGGCGAACGGGUGAGUAACAAGUGAGUAACCUGCCCUUGACUUUGGGAUAACUUCAGGAAACUGGGGCUAAUACCGGAUAGGAGCUCCUGCUGCAUGGUGGGGGUUGGAAAGUUUCGGCGGUUGGGGUUGGACUCGCGGCUUAUCAGCUUGUUGGUGGGGUAGUGGCUUACCAAGGCUUUGACGGGUGGCCGGCCUGAGAGGGUGACCGGCCACAUUGGGACGGAGAUACGGCCCAGACUCCUACGGGAGGCAGCAGUGGGGAAUAUUGCACAAUGGGCGGAAGCCUGAUGCAGCAACGCCGCGUGCGGGAUGACGGCCUUCGGGUUGUAAACCGCUUUCGCCUGUGACGAAGCGUGAGUGACGGUAAUGGGUAAAGAAGCACCGGCUAACUACGUG
rnacentral:rRNA from 1 species